rnacentral:lncRNA from 1 species
UCCAAUUUUUACCAAAACAUGCCAAGGUGGUCAAAAAAAGUGUUCGGAUUCAAAAUGGCUGACACCAAACAUUAAAGAUCCAGAAAGGUGGAGAAGCGUGGUAAAAAUAUUACCAGCGCUAGAUUUUUCCUUACCCCAAAUCCAUACUUGCAAACAGGUAAUGGAAUAUGGUAUAAAAAUACUCCCAUUGGACCAAAUGAAAUGGCUAAAUGAUUGAAGAACUCUGCAAAAAAAAAAUGCGGAUUGGACACACAAAACCGAAAAAUAACAAAUCAUUCAAGCCGAUCCAGUGUA